ensembl:lncRNA
GUUACAGGCCACAUAUAUUGUGAUAUAGUGGCCUAAUUCACACUCAUUUUAAAUAAUUCACUUGCCUGCUGCUUAAGAAAUCAGUAACAAUGGAAGCUUAUGACCUGCUGUCUUGCUCUCCAUCAACACAAGUCAUGAAGAACAGCCCGGAGCUGAAGGGUGCUGAAGGUGUGGGGCUGAAGUCAAGGGAGAGACAAAUGUGUAGAAUUGCCUUUGAGGGGUAUGUCAGCAUAUGGAGGAAAAUUGCCACCACUAACCCAGAACUUCUGCUGGUAAACGAAUAUUCAGAUGAAUUCAUCAACUGUAGAGACAGAUGUGCAGUCUGGUCAAAUUGCAAUAAGACAGAUCAUCUUGUUCAAGCACAGCGCAACAUCCCUGUUCAGAAGCUUCUGAAGAGACACACCACAGCGAAACGCACGCGGGUGGAACGCAUGAGAAGGCUCUACAAAGCUGCAGACCCACUGACCCCCCAGACUCCUGCUGCUGCUCUGGGUCCAGAUGAGCAGGAACACUGGGAGCGAGAAAUGGACGAACUGCUGGAAUGGACUCACUCCCUUUCUUUCAAAGAACUAGAUGACCUACUUCAUGCACACAUUUAG